rnacentral:lncRNA from 7 species
UGUCCUUAUGUUUCUAUGUUAGGAUCAUGCAACUGGAAACCUCAUGUUCUUCUCUGCCGAAGGAAGAUUAAAACUAGGACCUGUUUAUCACUGAAAAGAAGUGCCCAUCUGAGGUUCUUCCUAUCAGCACAGGAGGCAGAGACAAGAUUUCUAAUGAACCAUUCAGUACAAGCACUUUGAAACUACCUAAUCACCAACAGAUUUCACCUGCAACAGACUUAGGUAAAUACUCAGAACUUUCCAGCUGGAGAUGCAUGUUAUGAAGAGCAUUAAGAGCUGCAGAAUGGGUACUGUAAAGUUUUUACUAACCAGUUUUUGAAAUGAGAUGCUUCUAGCUCAGGAGAGCAUUGAAGGCAUAUUUAAAUCCUCCUGAAAACUCUAAGCCAGUGCUUAAGUGCUUUUGGAAAUCAUCACUCAGCUACUAACUGAUGCUGAGCGAGAUGAAAGUGUUGGGUGCUGGGAGACAUUUUGUAGUAUUUGCCAAGUGCUCAUGCACAAACCCCGAAACUGGGCAGAGGCUUUGGGAGGUCCCAGCCAUGUCUCCUUGGAAAAAUGUUUUCCCAUGAGGCCCAUGGCUGCAACUCAAACUCAGCUGCCCCAUGGCAUUGCUCCACACAAAAGAAAGGGUCCAGCCACACAGCUUGUAAUGCCAAAGAUGGAUACCAACACAGUGGGAACACAUCGUUUCUUAACUGCUUUGAAGAAAGUGCUGUAAUGUCAGUGCAUCAGCAGAGGAGGAAGUGCUACUUGUGGACAUACUGAUGUGAUGAAUGAAUUAACCAAGGAGCAUAAUACCUCAUUGCCAACUGAGAGCAAAUCCUUGAAGUUCAGUGCUAUUCCACUUAAAAUAUUUCAGUUGGAUCUCAAACCAAGAUGUGCAGAAGAAUUGUUACCACUGAAGAAGCUGGAUUUUUUGUCAAGAAGGAGACUCGUGAUUCCUUUGCUUCAGGGAAAUUUAAAUGAAGAAACGUUCAAUUUGGAGGUUUGCCUAUUCUACUUGGAAAAUGUUAAAAAAUGGGUUGAAGAAAACAAGAAGAGCCAGAAAAGACUGCAAAGGAAAAUUGCCAUAUCUUUAGUCAAGUUUAUAAAUCUUUCCCUGGGACUUUUUGACAAAUGACUGCCCACCAACUUUGUGAGAUUUCUCCUGGACAUGCCUCAGAAACUUCUGGCAUUUUGCCAUGCAGAUCCCUGUGUCUACGUCACUUUGCUCCAAGGAAUUGCUGAGACACCCAAGGAAAGAGUGUAGCUGCUCUAGGCUACCAUUUUCAGUUGAUGAGCCAAAACAAGGCUGCAAAGAAUUUUGGGCAGCUUUUACUUUAUCGAAUCGACUGUGCUCAUCUGUAUUUUCAAGCCCAGGGUUUGAAUGUGUGCCCUCCAUAGCCACCAAAUGCCAGCAGGAGUGCACUUACACUGUUUCAUUCCCACAGCAGUAGCACGGAUCAGUAAAUUUGAGCAAAAGACCUAUUUGAAACAGAGCC